UCCGGCUUCAGGUGGCCGUAUUCCCCGCGGGCUCCAGAUGCCCGGAGCAGAGGGGAACCCGGCGGGUGCGCAGGAGGCGACGUCCCCGUGGACGCGUCUGCAGGAGCCCCAGUGUCCGUGACCCUGGCGCGCCCCGCCGCCGCCGUGCGCAGCUCUGGGCCGGGCUGCGGAGGCGGCUCCCCACGCAAACUCAAGCUCCCCGAGCCGCGAGAGAUGCGUUCGUCAGGAGGUUUGGUCAAAGUCCCUGAUGAGGCUGGAGCACUGAUGACAGGACGCGGCCAAACUUCAGGCUUGGGCCUGACGCCGUGGACCGUCCCGCCAUCCCCCCCACCUACAGGAAUGAUGGUACAGUUUUGAGGUGGCCUCUACAAUGCUUUGCAAAAAGUUCGUGGGUUUGGUUUGUUAGGAAGAGUUGAAAUGAAGAAUGUGAGUGGAGAGAGAAAACUGGGGUGCCUCCUGAGAGCAAAAUCUGGGGCCGGAUACUCCAUAUGGAUGCACAUCAGAAUUGCCCCUGGGGUGUGAUAAAAAUAGAUUUCUGGGCUUCACUGGGGGAAAUUCUGGUUUUGGGGUCUAAACAGGGCCCCGUGUCCCGUGAUUCUAACAGGCCUCUGCAGGUGAUGACAAGUGAGGGGCCAGGGCCAGGCUGGCACGCACAGCUGGAGGGUAAUAGUUUUCCGCGUUUAAUGUGCAUGCGAAUCAUCUGAAGGUCUUAUUAAAAUUCAGAAUCUAAUUCAUUCAGCAGGUCAGAGAAGGGGCCGGAGAGUCUGCGGUUCUGACGACCUCCUGAUUCGCUAUCCGGGGACCAUCUUUUGAAUGGCAAGGUUGUAGGGGAUACCGGCUUAAGGAUAGAAAGCUCUGGCUCUCACUUAGGGUGCUUGCCAUCUAGGGCGGGGAGCCCGGUGGACAGCUGCUUCUAGGCCAACGUGAAGCGGGCUGUCCCAGUAAAGACCCAGAAUCGUUGUAAAGGGAGACACACCCUUUCUAUGGGCAUCACAUGUUCGCAGUGAGACAUCCAGGGAAAAAAAAAUGGUGAAUGUCAUGUUCGACAAACUGUUUAGCAAGAUAGGAAAGGGUACUACAGAUCUGACGCAUAUUUCUAUCCCAAAUGGUUAAUAUCUUCAGAAAAAAAUAUGGACGCUAAAGAGGUAAGCCCUAAUUUUCUAGAAAAUUCACUGAUGUGGAAAACUUCAUUUCCUGAUAAUGCCGGGAAAAUCUGUGUUUUGUUGGGUGCUCCAUAUGCUGUUGGUGCUUAUGAAUUGUGCAGUUUUAUUAUCCUCAUUAACAGGGAUAAUGCUUGCUUUUUAACAAUCAUGAUCACCAUCUGGAACUUGGAAAACCAUCGUUUGAGACUCAGGUAGGAAGGGGAAACGAUCUUGAUGGGGUCCUGGCUCACUCAUUUCCCCACUGCCCCAGCCUUGUUCACGUCCAAGGGCUUGGCUGCCAGGCACAGAAGAACCAUACAGACAGAUGUGAUGUUAGUUGUGGUUCAAGAGGAAACAGAAACAAAGCAAAACAGAAUGAGACUCAGUACAAGGAACGUUUGGCUUUGACUUCAUUGUUUAAUUUCAUUCUCAUAUAUUUUUUUUAAUUUUUAAAAAUGUUUUGGUUUUUUUUUUUUAAUUUUUGAGAGGGAGAGAGAUGCAAAUGGAGGAGGGGCAGAGAGAGGGGGAGACACAGAAUCUGAAGCAGGCUCCAGGCUCUGAGCUGGCAGCACAGAGCGUGAUGUGGGGCUUGAACCCACAUCAUGACCUGAGCCGAAGUCUCAGCUGAACCACCGACUGAACCACCCAGGUGGCCUGAAUGUCAUUCUAAUGUUAACAAAUAUUCACAAAGUGGCUUGCCAUGUGUGUUCCCCUCACAGCCCUGGUGAUCUCUAACUAUGCUGUGACAUUGUGACAAGCUGGCUAGUGUGACCGUCAGUGCUCUCCCAGCUCUUGGGGGGAGUUGGAUUUGGGCACCUGAAUGUCUUUUUUGCUUCACGGAGGAUUACCUUGUCAGAAAGAGGUGGCUAGACCUCCAGGACCUGGUAACCAUAGCAACCAUGCACGCCUGACCUUGUGGGUUCUUUAGGACACCUCCCCAGACCUUUCCCAGACUGAUCUUUUCAACCUUUCCCCAAACUGUUAGUGGCAUUCUUAGACGGGCUCAGCCCUAACGUGCAGGGCACUUCAGGAGUAUUGACCUGACUGCCUUUUCCAGGUACCUAAACAGUCAGCACUCCAUGGGGAACAGGAGGAGCUAGAAAAAUUGGGAAAGCGAGAAGAACAACAUGAGCAGAAUCUCACCAAGGAAAUAAAGCACCUGCUUUUGAUCACUAAGAACAGAAGAUAAAAUGCUCACAUUCGAGAAUGCAAUCAACUCACUAUGUUGCUGUGUCGGAUGUUCGCAGAACACACAGACCCGACUACGGCAUGAUGCCCUAGGAAGUGGGCUCUGUAGUGCUUCAGGAUGAUGCGUCAGCCUAAGCAGACACAUUUUCUUCAGACAGUGCUUAUGGGGCACACCUUUCCUGCGAGGAAGAAACUGAGGACCAGAAAGUUGCAUAACUUGUUCAAGGUCUCCCUUGAGAGAACAGAGGACUUGGGAGCUGAGCCAAGGAGCGUCUGGCCGGCAUGAGCUUAUUGUGUCUGGGGCCAGCUGAGCUGAACGUGGGCUCCUUUGCGGCUUCUCCAUCGCUGGCCAGCAGGCUGGCCUUCUGUUUCUCCUCCAGGAACCUUGCACACUCCUUUGAUUCAUGGUGUUAAUGGAAAACCUGUAGCUGGUGGUCCGUACAUCUGCUGGAGAAACAUUUUUCACAGAACUCACCUCAUCUGGGGACCAUGUGUCCAGGAGAGUUACCGGUUUUUGGCAAAGGGCACAUCCAGACCCACGUGCCAGCGUUACCCUCUGGGACAUCUGGUUACCAACUAAUGACAGGCAGCCAGGUAUCCUUUCCUCCAGUCGUACAUGCAGUCUUUUCUUCACCUUUGCAACCUCAUUAUGGCUAAAGCAGACAUUUAUCACCCCUGGGAAGGAGAAGAUGUGCACGUGGUUUCCACAGUGUGGUGAACCAACUUGGACACGAUACCCUCAGAGGUCUGACUGCCGCACAGCACGUCAGGACCGUUGGCCCAGGACUCAGGAGGAGUCUGGUCGUCUGCCUGCCUAGAACCUAUUGCUUGACCUUGGAUAAGUCGCUUUCCCUGUCCAGGCAUUGUGUCCCUCCGCUCUAAGAAAGUUCUACUGGACAAAGCUGUUGUGGGCAGAAAGGACAGUGUGCUGACUUCUGGGACGCCGUCGGCUUUGGUCUGAAAACGCUUCCCUGAGGCUGCUUUUUGUGCCACGAGCCUUGGGACCUUCAGCGCUGCCUUGUGACAGAGACUGGUCCAUGGGGCACGGCCUGGAAAGCUGGGUGCCCAGUGACCACAGCAUGAGGCUGCCGGGUAAGCUGUCCUCGAGGGCCAGCUGCUCUGGGGGCGGGGCAGUGGAUGCGGACUGGCUGUUAUCAGCAAGGACACGGCAGCUGGCUUCAGUGGCAUGUGACCUCAACAUCUCCCUCCAUUGGACAUCCAGUGGACAUCUAAACCCGAGCCCCGCAUCCCUCAUGCCCACCUGCUUCCCCACAGUCCUGCCCCCUCAGGUGAUGGCAUUCCCACUCUCCCAGCUGUUCGGGCCCAGGCCCUGGUGAGUACCUUACACCCCUCUCUUCUCCCGGCCCUAACCCUCCACCUAACCUAUCAGGAAGUCCUGUCGGCUCUACCUUUCCAACAUGGCUGGUGCGGGCCUCUUCCUCCCAUCUCCAUUGCUGCCGCCAUGUUGAAACUCCAUUACCUUUCACCAGGAUUUCUGCAGCAGCCCCCUCACUGGUGUCCCAGCUGUCCCCCUUGCCCGCUCCCGUACCUUCUGUCCCCAGUAGAGUGGCUGGAGUGAUAGUGCUAAAAGUUAGGUCAUUUCAUUCCUCUGCUUAAAAGCCUCCAAAUUCAGAGUAAAGGUUAGAAUCCUUACAAUGUCCUGUAAAACCCUCUGUGACUGUAGAACCUGGCCCCGUUCCCUCUCUGACUUCAUCUAUUACUAUCCCCCCACUGCGUCCUCUGCUCCAGCUACAUUUGCCUCCUCCCUGUUCCCAAGGGCCUUUGCUCUGGCUGUCCCCUGUGCUUGGAAAGCCUUUUCUCCAGAUAUCCGUACGCAAACUCCCCUCUUCUUUGGAUCUUUGCUUAAACGUCAACUUCUCAACGAAGCUCAUGGCAAUCUUAUUUAAAAUACUAACCUGCACGCCUCCCUGUCUUUCCCGGCGCCUCCUUCCCCAUUACCCUAUAAUACUCUUUUCUCAAAUAGCGCACAGCACCUAGCCUGCCUCUUCGUUUAUGGGUUGGUUGCACUCAUUUUUUGCUUUGCCGUCUCCCCUCCCUAGAACAGAGGCCAAGCGAAGCCAGGGGACUUUGUCAGUUGCAUUCACGGAGAUGGCCUAUGUGCCUAGAGCCCACAGGGGUUCGGCUGUGUUCAUUUGUUCUCAUCCCGAGCUGCUCUCUGCCGCUGGGGAGCAGGUCGUAUGUACGUAUGAGCCAAUCGGCAGCCUGGGUCGGCAGCCCUCGCCUCUCCUUAGGCUUGCUGAGCGGGGCUCCAGGGGCGGACGGACUUACCAAAAUUGUCAAGCGGAAGCUAGAGGCUUGGCCCUCAGGCGACCUGACUCUAAAGCAGUCUUCUGCUUUUCUGAGGGUCCCGGGUUGACAGAGGGUAGGAAGGGGUGGUUGGAGCAGUGAGGAAGGGGCUCCUGGGCAGGGUGGUGGGUUAGGGACCCUCGACGGUACGGUGGGGAGUGUAGUGCGCCUGCCCGCGGUGUCCAGGGCGGCUGACUCUUCAAAACUGCUCCGUCAUGCCCUCCAGUUGUACGAGCCUCCCGUGAGCAUGCCUGAUGACUCAGUAGCUGAAUGGGACGGGGGAGGGCUUCAGGCAUCAGAGCGGGGCUUAUCAAGGGGUGGAUGUGGAAUCUGAGUUGCGCACCGAGCGAGCGAGGAGAGGGCGCCGCGGGCAGUGAGUGGGGAGCUCUGCCCGCACCACCCCCCCCACGCCAAGCCAUGGAUUUUUCAUCUGUUCAAAGGGAACAGUAAAGCCUGCCUGUCUCCCUUUCAGCGUCCUGAGGAUCAAAUGAAAUAAUGUAUAUGAAAAUGUUCCAAAAAGAAUAAAGAGCUUGGCCAGGAUAAAAAAUUGCUUUUAUUCCCAACGAUAAGUCAAGGGUGAGGUUUCUAAGAAGUCGUUUGUGUGGGCUGUUAUUUCAGAUCCUGUUUGUUUUGUUAAAAAAAAUAAAUAAACCAAAUCUGGGCCUGUUGCAUCAAGGGGCAGUGGAAAAAGUGUGCUAUAUGGUUCCUCAGACCUGUGGUCCAGCCGUUUCCCGCCCCGGCGCCCUCCCCCUCUCCCCUCCCCCCUCCCCACUUGUCUGAUGGUCUCAGUGCCCUCCAGCUGCUGUGACGCCCCUGUGUGUCUCGGGCCGGCCGUGACCUUGUAGAAGGCGGGAUGCAGAACCGUGCUGCUUGGUCAUGGGGCCAGAACGACCUGCCCCCAGAGCCUCCCUGGCCCCGCUGAGGGACAGAGGGAAGCUGGGUUAACGACCUGGCUUGUUCAGGACCUGAGUGGGGAACAGCGGAGAAAGAGGAGGGCGACUUGUACCCGUAGGACCUCCGUGCUGUGCCAGAGGCCGUCGUGACUUUCCGCCUCCCAACGCACCUGCGUCUCUCUAAGGUAGUGUUGUUCUUAGCUUAAAGAUGAAGAAAGCUGAGGCUCAGAGAGGUUGAUAGUCGGUCCCAGGCCACACAGCUUAGUGGUGACCAGCAGUGUCAGCAUCGGAACUCAGAUCUGUCUGGUUUCAGAAGCCGUGCCCUUUCCAGGCUGCCCUGCUCCCCCCUCUACACAGGCCGAGGGGUGGGGCUCCAGGUUUGGCUCCUUCCCUCAGAUGUGUGAUGAUGGGCGUGUCUUUCCAACAUUUCUCACCCAUUUGUUCAGCGACAGAGGCAGCGGUAACUUCGUCUCUCAUGGGGUGGUUGUGAGAAUCAAGGGAAACCGUGUAUGUGGAGGAACCCGAAUAUUGCAAAGUGUUGCCUGCAAGUGAGGAAUGGCUAUUAGAAUUUUACCCUGUGACUGCCUUGCUCAAGAACCUUCAGUGAGUCCCUCUUCCCCGACCCGCUGGAUCCUGGCGUCCCUAGUUCCGUGCCUGCGCUCUCCCUGUCUGCCCCUCACCUGGCCUUUCUCUGUGGUCUGGCAAAUGGCAUGUGUCCUUCCCGCCACCUCUCUGCCAAUGUGGCUCUCUCGCCACCUUUCCGACCUGACACACAUAUGGCCCCCCCCCCCCCCCCCCCAGGAAGCCCUCCCUCACAGCCUCGCCUGCCUGUGUCACGUGGCUUCCAAUGUGCUGCCUGGUGGCUGGGCACAAGUGCUCUCCAGCUGACUCGGAACCUUGAGAACUUCUCCCCAAGGAGGUUUGCCAGUCCUGUACCACUGAGAUCAUGGUCCUGUGCUCUUUGAAUGCCCCCACAGCGACUCGUCCAGUACUCGGGACCCGCGACUUAAACGGUCAGAAAAUGUCAACCGGUGGGCUAACGCAGGGUCCUGGACCAAUGCUUCCACUUUCUCAUGUGGUGGGGGUCACGGAGAGCUCUGGCAGCUUUUCCAGGCAGCCUCCUGCAGCCCCUUGGUCUCUUCUGGAAGAGGCAGCUUCCGGCCUGAGCUCACACGGUGCCUGGAGUGAACUGGGUCCCUCCCGCGUGCCUGGCCAGACCACCCUGUCCUGGCGGGGCCAGCUCACCGCAGAGCUCUGGGAGCAAGGACGCUGACCUCAGCCCCUUUCCCCGCUCUGCACUUCUCUCAAAUGUCAUGCCCGGGCGGUGCGUUACACCCUGGCUUGUCUUCCAAGAACCUGGAGAAAAGAGAGCAGCCUUGACCUUCCUCGUGCAUGUAGUGGUAGGACCUCGCACGUCCACCUUACCGGGGCUGGACACAGAUCUCGAAGCAGGGUCACGUAACACCUGCGUACGGAGACUCCAAAGCUUGCUUUCCAGGUGCCUUCUGUGAUUCGGGAGAGAAGGUACGAGGACCCCAAGGGGGGGAAGGUAACAGAAAGCACGCGUUGGUGUCACUCACAUCGGCCGGUAGCCUGCCACUGGGCACAUUGGCUCAUCUUCCGGGGCACCAGUGUCCUGAUGUGUAAACUGCGGAUGACAAUAGCAUGGCCACCACAAUGCAUGGCUUUAAGUUCCGUCUCGAAUUUUGUCCGCCUCCCCACUGUUCAGGUUAGACGUCACCUUCUAAGAGAGACGUUCCCGCCACCCUAGGGAUGUCCCUGGUGCCGUCCUGAGUGUCGCGCCCUGGCAAUCCUUCCUGGCACUUCUUACGGUCUGUAAUUAUCAUGUUUGUGCACCUGUGUAUGUUUUUGCUACUAGAACGGAAGCCCCACGAGGGCAGGGAACACAUGGGUCUUACUCACUGUUGUGUCUCGAACUCCUAGAACAACGGCUGGCACUUAGUAGGCAUUCGGUACACUCUGGUUCCCUUUCUUUUCCUUCCCCAGUAAAUAACACAUCAGUGUCAGGGAGAGAAAGUUUCCCGUUGGGCUUCCAAGUAAGUUCCUGCAAGGGCGUAAAGGUCCCAGCGGCCCUUGUCAAAAAGAAACUCCUACCCGCCACGGGAAGCUUGACCAGUGGGGGUCAGGGAGGGGCAGGUGCUUGUGACCUUUCAGCCUGAAGCAGUGGAACAGAUGCCCCCCUUGUACCUAACGAAGUGGCUGUGCGGUAUCCUCCAGGAGACCCCUCCCACCCGGCCCCCCGCAGAGCCGCAGGGCCAUGGGCAUUUCUGGGGACAGCAGCCUGGUUUUGCCCUCCUUCCUGUGCCCACCCCCACCUUCCCAGUGCUUAGCGAGCACCAGACGUUUCCACACGCGGCCACGGGGCCUCUGAGGACGCUCUGGAAUCUGUCACCUUUCUCCCACGACACACAUGCCAGGAAGAUGGACGUGAGUGUGUGCGUGGGGACGGGAGGUGUCCAUGUAAACUUUUUCCGAGGGAAGAGAAAUGAAGGACAGAGCGGGAGAGAAGGGACUGGCAGAGAUGUGAGGAGGGCGGAGAGAAAAAUGUUGGAAAAGGGACUUUUUUUUUUUUUUUUUUUUUUAAUCUUAGAAAGGUUUGAAUGAGUGGGAAGGAGCCAGCUGACAGGAGGAGCUUGAAAAUCCAGGAACACAGGGCAAGGGAAGGCUGACAAGCAGACAGAGUCUAGGGCUUGCCUGGGACGAAGGGGCUUCCCAGGAGGUGGGAAGAGGCCCACCAGGGACUUCUCCGUGGCCGAGCUCCGUGGCUGAGCUGGCCAGGCAUUGGCACAGGCGUGACUUUGUCCUGUCCUCAGGUAGCUAAGGGUGCAAUUAUAUGCCUUCCGAGGCCUUCCGGCAAUCGAACCUCGCUUCCCCUCCACCCCCCACAAAAGCAUGUUCCCCGGGCUGGAGAUGGGACGCUAGAAAGCCACCUCAUCUUGCCAGGCCUCGUUCUCCAGGACAGAGGGCUGGUUGGAUGAUGUCUGAGGUUCUUUCCAGCUGAGCUGUUGCGAGUCAACGGUUUAAGUUGCCUGUGAUGGCUUUGAUGGUCCUGGCCGGGUCUGUUCUCAGGACACAGCAUCAGGGGUCUCCAGGGGAAAGUCUUCGAGUAGCGAUGCUCCUGGCUUUCCUGAAGCCUCUUGCCCCGUCCUGCUUUGGAGGACACGGCUUGGGGAUGAGUGGGUGCGUACGGGUUUGUCCGCCCUCAGGAGACUCUGCUGGCUGUGUGGGGUCUGGGUCAGCCAGGCGCCGCACAGCAGUGGUGACAUGGGAGCGCGGGGCGUGCGUGACUUCAGCAGCCGCACCUUGUGGCCUGGGUGGAAGCAAUAGCAGUGGGAAAUGGGGGAGGGGGCUGCUGGUGAGCUGAUCGGGUUUCUCAAUUAUUUCUUUACACUAACCAGUUUGGGCUGAGGGAGCACCUGGGGCUCUUCAGUUUUGUGGGGAGGAGGUCCCGGGAGAGAUGUUAUGCGAUCCUUCAAUCUGGGCAGGGGGGCACCUGGGUGAGUAACGCACACAUAAACCAGGGGUGGCUUUAUUUCCCAAGCUGGUGGUGCAGGUCAUGCCAAUGACAUUAGUUUUCUUUAAAAAGAGGCAAAGCCAACAAAAAAUGCUAUGUAUGGGUCUGUAGUAGGGUUCAUGUGUGUUGUAUGUUGGGGGAGGGGGAGGUGGCUGAAAUCCCAAAUCAAUAAGGUAAUUGAGUUAUUUCCGUCGAGUGUUUAAGGCUAUUACUUUAAGUGAACACAGGGCAGUUGGCUGUGUUUGCUGUAAUCAGCUUUGGACUCAUCGGGCAUAUUGAUCUCUCCCAGCGCUGUUUGGUGUUCUUGAAACAUCAGCGGAAGUCUAACCCCCGCCUCCCCCUCCUCUUUCCUCCUCUUCUUCCCAAGGCUUCUGAAAAGCACAAACACAGUUCUCUCUGCUGGCUGGGUUGCAAAUUUUCCACUUCACAUCAUCAUCAUUUGUUCUAAAAGCAAAAUGCCAUUUUCCGCGACUCUUUACACUUGUGUGUGUGUGUGCAUGCACACACACACACACACACACACGCACACACACACACACACACACAUAGCCUCUGUGCUCAACAAUGUGCUUUUUAAUAUAAAGAAGGAGUGAAGACAACAGGUCCACUAUUUCUGCAAUAUCCCGGGGCAGGGAAGCCAUUCCCAGUCCAGCAAGAAACAUUGUGCCCAUUGAGGCUGCCCUCCAGCUCUGGGCGGCUGACAAUCCCAACCUUUGUGACCACCAGAGAAUCAUGGCCUGUACCCGUCCCCUCGGACUCCACCCUACUGGCCCCCAAAGGUCACUGACAGUGAUGUCACGGAAAAGCAUGGGGUCACAGAGCCUGUCCUGCGAAGAAGCUCUGGGAAGUGUUGGUGGGUCCCUGAAAGCUAGUGGACUUACCCACUCCCUUCCAUCUAGCCCCCAGCCCUGAGCCCUGCAGAAGUUCUCCAGCUCAGAGGUAACGCACCAGGGCAAGGACUCCAUCCUGGAUCCUGGCCCGAGUGGGAGCGUGCGAGAAGCUGUGGGCAAUCUGCCAUGCCCACUCUCCAUGGCACCCGCUGGCUGUCAGGACUGAGCAAGGGGGACCCUGGCCCCUCCCCUUAGACCUCCUGCUGCUCAUCUACUUUAACCCCAUUCUUGCUGGGCUUGGCUCCACAUCUGACAUUCAUUUGCCCUUUUGAUGCCUCUCUCUCCCCAGCUUUCCCCCCUGCGGAAAUGGGAUACGCAGGUAUACCUGUACACACACACACACACACACACACACACACACACACACACAGUCCCCAUUAACCCACUCUGAGAGUGCCAGCCUCAUCCAAGUCAGGCCAGAGAACCCAGGAAAACCCCUUGGUAACCUGGGGGUGCUGUUAGCUGGAGCUUGCACACACCUGCCUAAAGUUUGGGGACACAGAACUCCUGGAUGCUCUCAGGGGAAUAUGGACGGAAUCCCAGAGAAAGCAACACGAUUUAUGGUAAAAUUGCACUGACUGAGCCCUGUCCAUGUGUCCUAAGCCACAUACAUUAUUUCCCAUCCAUUCCGGGAAGGAGCUGUUUGUGUUGUAAUUUUGCGCUGAAGAAGGUGAAUCUCGGUGGUGAGGGCAACCUCUUGGGUGGUAGAUUUGAAACCAGGCUUUGACUCCAAAUCCAGGACCCCGCCCCUGCCCCCCCUGCCCUGGGCUAUCCCGGGGCUUAGAAAUGACAACUGGUAACUAGAAUUAUUUGCACUCCAGGAGGGAAGACUUGUGCAGAUCCAUGUGUGGGCGGUGGGGGCUGGGGUGGAUGGUUUGAGGCAUUUGGAGCCCUGGUAAUGGGGUGAGAUGGCACCACGUCUUGUGAUCUCCUUAGCGCCAUCAUCCCUGGUACUUGUAUCCUCCUCUCUCCUUGGGAUCAAGCCCUUUCAACUUAACUCUGCCCAAGGCCUCUGCCAUGACUCCUGCCACCCAGCAACCCACUGCUGUUGGGGGAAAAGUCCUGGCUCCCAAUCUGGUGGCCCCUCUCCACUCCCCCCGCCCAACUCUGCCUUACUUGCUGUGCCUCCGACAUCCAUGCACUUCUGACUCCCAGACUCUGCAGUGGCCGUGCCCUUCUGCUGACACGUCUCCUUCUCCUCGCUCUUUUUGGUGACCUCCUAUGAUCUUCUGAGUCCCAGCUUGUGACACUCUCCCUAAUCCCCAUCCCCACUGUCUUCCCAUAACACUGCAUGUCUGGCCUAGCAAUGCAAGUAUGAUCAGAGCUGUGGUUUAGAAAGAUCACUGUAUUGGUGGUGUAGGCAUUGACUGGAUGAAACACUAAGGGCUGGGAGAACAUUUGGAGUCUUUUGCAACCCUUUCAGUGAGAGAGAAACCAGGGCAGGGGAUAGAAAGAAGAGUUCUGGCUGGGGGUGGGGGUAGGUUCUGGAGAUUGAGACUCCCAGACAUGGAGCUGAGUUUGAGCCCAGGGUCAGACUAAAGGAGGCUAGCACCUGUCCCAAGAUGGCUUUCAGGGAACUCUUGCCUCUCAGCAGGGGACUUCCCUAGAAGACCUUUGGAAGACCCUUUCAACCCUUUAACUGAUUCUGUUAUAACUGUGGCAUUCUCUGGGUUGCUCAGAAGGCAGGAGCUCUAAAAAUAGAAAGCCUUAUUAUUACCGAUUAAAUUUCUUUCCACCUACAGAAUUUUCUGAAAGUAAUAAGAAGAGGAAGCCUGAGUCUGUGCUGAAGUGUUCAGGGAGCAGAGAUAUGCUGAGAGGCCAGCACGGUGGCUAGGAUAUGGGAGAUGAUCAAACCGUGUUUAUUGAAUCUGCGGAAAUAUACGAAGGCUUGGGAAGAGAAUGGCUCUACUGUUCCACGGCAGGUAGAGCUGGCUCAAAGCCUGGCCUGCAGGGCUGUUGCUGACGCUGCCCACAGGUCCAGACAACCACAGACUGUGGACAGUCACGACUUGUGUAAAUUGCCAUUGUCAGCCUGGCCUCUUGGGGUCAAGCUGCUGAAGUUCCAGUAGGCCUGCUGGUAAACCCCAGCCUCCUGUGCUCUACGGCGUGUCCCCGGAUGGACAGACAGUAUUCUAAUAGAGUAAUGAAGCUUGAUGGUAUGGAAAUCAGCAUCGGCCUUGACCUUCUAUUCAUAGUGUAUGAACUCUGACUCUCCCCUUUGGUAGGACUCACCCAGAACACCAUCAACCAAGAGGCCACGCCAAACUGAGUUACAAGAGAACUUCUUAAAGUCAUUCUUCGAGAGAGACAGAGCAUGAACGGGGGAGAGGCAGAGAGAGAGGGAGACACAGAAUCGGA